rnacentral:rRNA from 1 species
AGAGUUUGAUCCUGGCUCAGGAUGAACGCUAGCUACAGGCUUAACACAUGCAAGUCGAGGGGCAGCAUGUUGGUUGCUUGCAACCAACGAUGGCGACCGGCGCACGGGUGAGUAACGCGUAUCCAACCUACCCUUGUCCAUCGGAUAACCCGUCGAAAGGCGGCCUAACACGAUAUGCGGUUCACAGCAGGCAUCUAACGUGAACGAAAUGUGAAGGAGAAGGAUGGGGAUGCGUCUGAUUAGCUUGUUGGCGGGGUAACGCCACAAGGCUACGAUCAGGUAGGGUUCUGAGAGGAACGGUCCCCCANAUUGGAACUGGAGACACGGUCCAAACUCCGUACGGGAGGCA